GAUGAACGCUGGCGGCGUGCCUAAUACAUGCAAGUCGAGCGAACGGACGAGAAGCUUGCUUCUCUGAUGUUAGCGGCGGACGGGUGAGUAACACGUGUAUAACCUACCUAUAAGACUGGGAUAACUUCGGGAAACCGGCGCUAAUACCGUAUAAUAUUUUGAACCGCAUGGUUCAAAAGUGAAAGACGGUCUUGCUGUCACUUAUAGAUGGAUCCGCGCUGCAUUAGCUAGUUGGUAAGGUAACGGCUUACCAAGGCAACGAUGCAUAGCCGACCUGAGAGGGUGAUCGGCCACACUGGAACUGAGACACGGUCCAGACUCCUACGGGAGGCAGCAGUAGGGAAUCUUACGCAAUGGGCGAAAGCCUGACGGAGCAACGCCGAGUGAGUGAUGAAGGUCUUCGGAUCGUAAAACUCUGUUAUUAGGGAAGAACAUAUGUGUAAGUAACUGUGCACAUCUUGACGGUACCUAAUCAGAAAGCAACGGCUAACUACGUG
rnacentral:rRNA from 1 species